rnacentral:rRNA from 1 species
AUUGAACGCUGGCGGCAUGCCUUACACAUGCAAGUCGAACGGCAGCGGGGGAGAAGCUUGCUUUUCCUGCCGGCGAGUGGCGAACGGGUGCGUAAUACAUCGGAACGUGCCCUGUAGUGGGGGAUAACUAGUCGAAAGAUUAGCUAAUACCGCAUACGACCUGAGGGUGAAAGUGGGGGACCGCAAGGCCUCAUGCUAUAGGAGCGUCCGAUGUCCGAUUAGCUAGUUGGUGGGGUAAAGGCCUACCAAGGCGACGAUCAGUAGCUGGUCUGAGAGGACCGUCAGCCACACUGGGACUGAGACAUGGCCCAGACUCCUACGGGAGGCAGCAGUGGGGAAUUUUGGACAAGGGGCGAAAGCCUGAUCCAGCAAUGCCGCGUGUGUGAAGAAGGCCGUCGGGUUGUAAAGCACUGAUGUCCGGAGAGAAAUGGCUCUGGUUAAUACCUGGGGUCGAUGACGGUACCGGAAGAAUAAGGACCGGCUAACUACGUGCCAGCCGCCGCCGUAA